rnacentral:rRNA from 1 species
UCCUUCGGGACCGGGGAAAGCGGCGAACGGGUGAGUAACACGUGGGUAAUCAACCCUAGGCACUGGGAUAGCCCGAGGAAACUCGGAUUAAUACCGGAUGGCCCAGCAGCUCUUCGGGGCGGCUGGAAAAGGUAGCUUCGGCCUCCGGCCUGGGACGAGCCCGCGGCGGAUUAGCUUGUUGGUGGGGUAACGGCCUACCAAGGCGACGAUCCGUAGCUGGUCUGAGAGGACGAUCAGCCACACUGGGACUGAGACACGGCCCAGACUCCUACGGGAGGCAGCAGUGGGGAAUCUUGCACAAUGGGCGAAAGCCUGAUGCAGCGACGCCGCGUGAGGGAAGAAGGCUUUCGGGUUGUAAACCUCUUUCAGGAGGGACGAAGCUACUCGGGUUAAUAGCCCAGAGGGUGACGGUACCUCCAGAAGAAGCCCCGGCUAACUACGUGCCAGCAGCCGCGGUAAUACGUAGGGGGCAAGCGUUGUCCGGAUUUAUUGGGCGUAAAGAGCGUGUAGGCGGCCAGAUAGGUCUGUUGUGAAAACUCGAGGCUCAACCUCGAGACGCCGAUGGAAACCAUCUGGCUAGAGUCCGGAAGAGGAGAGUGGAAUUCCUGGUGUAGCGGUGAAAUGCGCAGAUAUCAGGAAGAACACCCGUGGCUAAGGCGGCUCUCUAGUACGGUACUGACGCUGAGACGCGAAAGCGUGGGGAGCGAACAGGAUUAGAUACCCUGGUAGUCCACGCCGUAAACGAUGGGUGCUAGGUGUGGGGGGGUGUCGACUCCCUCCGUGCCGAAGCUAACGCAUUAAGCACCCCGCCUGGGGAGUACGGCCGCAAGGCUAAAACUC